UACAGAGGGUGCAAGCGUUAAUCGGAAUUACUGGGCGUAAAGCGUGCGCAGACGGUUGCGUAAGUCAGAUGUGAAAGCCCCGGGCUCAACCUGGGAAUUGCAUUUGAGACUGCGUAGCUAGGGUGCGGAAGAGGGAAGCGGAAUUUCCGGUGUAGCGGUGAAAUGCGUAGAUGUCGGGAGGAACACCUGUGGCGAAAGCGGCUCACUGGACAGUAACUGACGCUGAUGCACGAAAGCUAGGGGAGCAAACAGG
rnacentral:rRNA from 1 species